rnacentral:tRNA from 2 species
GCUGAUGUAGCUCAGUUGGUAGAGCACCGCAUUGGUAGUGCGGAGGUCUCGGGUUCAAAUCCCGUCAUCAGCU